rnacentral:rRNA from 1 species
GCAGCCGCGGUAAUACGUAGGGAGCGAGCGUUGUCCGGAUUUACUGGGUGUAAAGGGUGCGUAGGCGGGCUGGCAAGUCAGGCGUGAAAUCCCGGGGCUUAACUCCGGGGCUGCGCUUGAAACUGUCGGUCUUGAGUGAGGUAGAGGCAAGCGGAAUUCCUAGUGUAGCGGUGAAAUGCGUAGAUAUUAGGAGGAACACCAGUGGCGAAGGCGGCUUGCUGGGCCUUAACUGACGCUGAGGCACGAAAGCGUGGGGAGCAAACAGGAUUAGAUACCCC